AUUUGAGACUGUGACUCAGGGACAGUGUCAUCAGGCAUUUCUUCCGUCUCAUCCACUCCAUCCAGAGCACACUGUGGCUCCUCACAGACCAGCUUCUCCACCGCCUCCUCCCGGUUCCGGCUCUCCGGCUGAGCCUCCUUCGCCCGUGUAGGACCAGGAACCUCCACGCCUCCGGAGCCCCUCGCAUCGGAGUUUGCAGUCAACCAAGGCCGACUCAGAAUCACUCCCACCGGGAAGAUCUGUGAAGGAAGGUCCACCCGGCUGGUCCAGAAGCUCCGGUCCAGCAGAGCAGCGUCAGGAUGGAGACGUAACCGGUGUUGAUGUCACCGCCUUGACGAAUAGAAGAAAGGCCUGUAUUUGAGUAUGAAGGGC
ensembl:lncRNA